GAACGCACCUUGCGCCCUUUGGCUAUUCCGAAGGGCAUGCCUGUUUGAGUAUCAUGAACACCUCAACUCUCAUGGCUUGCCGUGAUGAGCUUGGACUUUGGGGGUCUUGUUGGCCUGUGAGCCAGCUCCUCUUAAAUGAAUUAGCUUGCCGGUGUUUGGUGGCAUCACAGGUGUGAUAACUAUCUACGCUUGUGGUUUCCCAUCAGAUAACCUUCAGUGAUGGAGGUUCACCGGGGCUUAUAAACGUCUCUCCUCGGUGAGGACAGAUUUUGACCGUUUGAUCUCAAAUCAGGUAGGACUACCCGCUGAACUUA
rnacentral:misc_RNA from 1 species